AAACCGUUAACGGUAUAGUAAAUCUUACUCGAAUGCUCGACCCUAGAUGGCGUAAUCCAUAAACAUAUUCUCCAUCUCGCGGCAGUCAUGGAAAUUAACAUUGUUUCUUAUUGGACGCCUGAAAAUGGCGACCACAUUGCGAGUGUCGGGUCGAGUCGAGUAAGAGUCGCUUACGUCAACAAUUCGGGCCUUAUUACCAAACAACAAAAGCACCGUGAGUGUGGAUUGUGAUCGAGGAGAAAUUGGCAGUGGUGAAGAAACUAUUGACAGGGAGGACCGUAAGACGUGAUAUUACUCAAGCAGCCCCAUCAAUUCCAACAGUUGCUUGAAGAUUUGGUCAUAGACAGAAUUUGAAAAAAAGCCCUUUAUCAAGAGUAAACAAUUUGAGGCAGGCAACAAAAAAUCCUUUCUGAAUCCUGACCUAGAAAUUGCUAGAUUUGUUGAAAGUUGAGAAAGAAAAAGAUGAACUUAUUCCACACCCUGCAAGACUGUCAUUAUAUUGGCAAACUCGCAUGUUGAUUUACAGUUAGUGGUUCUGGUGGAGUCACCAUUGGGGGAAAGCAGUGGUCCCCAAAAAAUCAAAAUCCCAAUCUCCUUUACUAGCUGACAUCAUUUUCAUGUUGGGCAUGGAAGGCUGGCACAAAACGUAUGUUAACCACGAGUAACGCAGUAGCGCCCAAUAAGAGGUCGACCAACUUUCGAAAUUUAGCGAUGACCCUUUUAUGAUCAUGUCAGCCAAUCCUGAGGACCGCUCAUUCUCAAGCUCCAGCUCAAGCGCAACCUUCUGUAGCCAGCACUGGGAACUCGCGAUUACGAGGAACUACGCAACUUUCUACGGCAGUUGGAAACCCACGAGAGCCACUGGCCGUUCCUCAAGUCCACAACUUUCGUCACAAUAAUUCACUACUUUCAUCUUGAUCAUCGUCAGAUCAUCAAGAAUCCAAUGGACAAAUGGUUUAGACCAAUUUAUACAAAGAGCCGCUACCGACGACUUGGUUCUAGACCUACGACAUUUUGUUGUUUUAGUUGGCCUAGUGAAGUACCAGAGGUGGAGCCAGAAAUGAAAACAGAUUUAGAAACCGCGCUGCCCAGUGCCCACCACUUCCAGAAGCUGAGAUUGAUAUUACAUGUGCAAUGGGCUCUUUUUAAAAGUGGAACUCCACUUCAUCUAAUCUAGCACUCCAAUUGUGCAGGCUGUAUGGAAUUCUCAUUCACAUUUGCUGUGAAUGUCAAUUAGAUGUUCACUAAUUUCAAUGUUCAACAUGUUUUUCAACAAAUAACUCAUUGACGUACAAGGAAAGCUACGAAAAAUAUCAUAUCAUCUAGGCCAUGGGUUAUCUUCAGGUCUAUUGCAGCAGCUUAAGAGAAGAAUAUGAACAAAUGCAGGGCACAUACCAACAUGUGUUGUAUUUUUCUGAAUGUUAAACACGAGCAGUAGAUUCAACAUGACUAACUGUUUGAUGCCAAAGUUAGUUGGAACUCAGUACUCAACUCACUGUACGUACUCUAACACAGAUAACUGGUUUUGUGCCUUUCACUUUUCAGCCACAGGCAGGAAAAUUAUUCUUUACUUCAGAAAAUUGCAAGUUUAAUUUUUUGUCUUGACUCUCAACACUUUCUGUUAAUAUUAUCAAUUUUUAUGUUGAAAGAGUUACAAAGUCUGAAAAGCUAACUAAAAACUUUGUGUUUUUGUUUCAUAGGGAAAGCUGCUGGAGUAAUCUGGUGGUUAUGCUCAUUUGAUUCAUUUUUUCAUUUCGUGCCAGCUAGUGAAAGCGGAAAGGCAUGUCGAACUCAAUUGAGCUGCUGCGACUUUGCGACUCCAAGCAAGCAAUUCAGCCGUUGCGUUCAGUCAUUUGUUGGAACAGGAAUCUAAAGGCUGUCAAUAGGUGGCUGUCAAUAGGUGGCUAAAAUGAUGUCCACCAGAUAGCGCGAAUGUCUUCAGUGACGCUUAGCGGCCAUUUUGUUCCAAGACACAGCAGAGAUGGGUUGUUGGUUGUGAGUUGUGACGUUUCUCACGAUGAUAAUU
rnacentral:lncRNA from 1 species